UACGUAGGGUGCAAGCGUUAAUCGGAAUUACUGGGCGUAAAGCGUGCGCAGGCGGUUGUGCAAGACCGAUGUGAAAUCCCCGGGCUUAACCUGGGAAUGGCAUUGGUGACUGCACGGCUAGAGUGUGUCAGAGGGGGGGUAGAAUUCCACGUGUAGCAGUGAAAAUGCGUAGAGAUGUGGAGGAAUACCGAUGGCGAAGGCAGCCCCCCUGGGGAUAACACUGACGCUGAGACACGAAACGUGGGUAGCAAACAGGA
rnacentral:rRNA from 1 species